rnacentral:rRNA from 2 species
ACUUAAAUUGAAGAGUUUGAUCAUGGCUCAGAUUGAACGCUGGCGGCAGGCCUAACACAUGCAAGUCGAGCGGUAGCACAGAGAGCUUGCUCUCGGGUGACGAGCGGCGGACGGGUGAGUAAUGUCUGGGAAACUGCCUGAUGGAGGGGGAUAACUACUGGAAACGGUAGCUAAUACCGCAUAAUGUCGCAAGACCAAAGUGGGGGACCUUCGGGCCUCAUGCCAUCAGAUGUGCCCAGAUGGGAUUAGCUAGUAGGUGGGGUAACGGCUCACCUAGGCGACGAUCCCUAGCUGGUCUGAGAGGAUGACCAGCCACACUGGAACUGAGACACGGUCCAGACUCCUACGGGAGGCAGCAGUGGGGAAUAUUGCACAAUGGGCGCAAGCCUGAUGCAGCCAUGCCGCGUGUGUGAAGAAGGCCUUCGGGUUGUAAAGCACUUUCAGCGGGGAGGAAGGCGUUAAGGUUAAUAACCUUGGCGAUUGACGUUACCCGCAGAAGAAGCACCGGCUAACUCCGUGCCAGCAGCCGCGGUAAUACGGAGGGUGCAAGCGUUAAUCGGAAUUACUGGGCGUAAAGCGCACGCAGGCGGUCUGUCAAGUCGGAUGUGAAAUCCCCGGGCUCAACCUGGGAACUGCAUUCGAAACUGGCAGGCUAGAGUCUUGUAGAGGGGGGUAGAAUUCCAGGUGUAGCGGUGAAAUGCGUAGAGAUCUGGAGGAAUACCGGUGGCGAAGGCGGCCCCCUGGACAAAGACUGACGCUCAGGUGCGAAAGCGUGGGGAGCAAACAGGAUUAGAUACCCUGGUAGUCCACGCCGUAAACGAUGUCGAUUUGGAGGUUGUGCCCUUGAGGCGUGGCUUCCGGAGCUAACGCGUUAAAUCGACCGCCUGGGGAGUACGGCCGCAAGGUUAAAACUCAAAUGAAUUGACGGGGGCCCGCACAAGCGGUGGAGCAUGUGGUUUAAUUCGAUGCAACGCGAAGAACCUUACCUGGUCUUGACAUCCACAGAACUUAGCAGAGAUGCUUUGGUGCCUUCGGGAACUGUGAGACAGGUGCUGCAUGGCUGUCGUCAGCUCGUGUUGUGAAAUGUUGGGUUAAGUCCCGCAACGAGCGCAACCCUUAUCCUUUGUUGCCAGCGGUUCGGCCGGGAACUCAAAGGAGACUGCCAGUGAUAAACUGGAGGAAGGUGGGGAUGACGUCAAGUCAUCAUGGCCCUUACGACCAGGGCUACACACGUGCUACAAUGGCAUAUACAAAGAGAAGCGACCUCGCGAGAGCAAGCGGACCUCAUAAAGUAUGUCGUAGUCCGGAUUGGAGUCUGCAACUCGACUCCAUGAAGUCGGAAUCGCUAGUAAUCGUAGAUCAGAAUGCUACGGUGAAUACGUUCCCGGGCCUUGUACACACCGCCCGUCACACCAUGGGAGUGGGUUGCAAAAGAAGUAGGUAGCUUAACCUUCGGGAGGGCGCUUACCACUUUGUGAUUCAUGACUGGGGUGAAGUCGUAACAAGGUAACCGUAGGGGAACCUGCGGUUGGAUCACCUCCUUACCUUAAAGAA